UAGAUAAGGUCUUGAAACCUAAAGAAUUUGGCGGUGUUUUAGUCUUUUCAGAGGAAUCUGUCCCGUAAUCGAUAAUACACGAGUCAUUAGACUUAAUUUUGUUUUCAGUUUAUAUACCGCCGUCAUUAGAUUAUCUUUUGAAAGUAUAUAAGAAUCAGAAUUCUAUGAAGGAAGAAUGUCAGGUCAAGGUGUAGCUUAUAAUUAAGGGGUGAUGGAUUACAUUAAAAUUAUUUAAACGGAUGUUAGUAUGAAAAUAUAAUUGAAGGUGGAUUUGAUAGUAAAGUUAAGGAAUUAGUAGCUUGAUUUUAGCUCUAAAACAUGCACACAUCGCCCGUCGCUCUCAUUCUUAAGAUGAGAUAAGUCGUAACAAAGUAGACGUACUGGAAAGUGUGUCUAGAAAGU
rnacentral:rRNA from 1 species